rnacentral:lncRNA from 1 species
AACCAUGCCCGCAUAUCAGGGCAGCAUCCUAGGAUCCCGUGGCUCUCAGGUGUUCAAAGAGCAACAAUAAGCCAACGAUGAUAAGGCGUCCACCGACAGUUGUUUGUUACAUCUGUGGCCGUGAAUAUGGGACCAAAUCUAUUAGCAUCCAUGAGCCACAAUGUCUGAAAAAGUGGCAUAAUGAGAACAAUUUGUUACCUAAAGAGCUAAGAAGACCAGAACCCAGGAAACCAGAAAUCAGAACCAUUGCCGCCAAAGGAUUCUACGAUCUUGACGCCUUAAAUGACGCCGCUUGGACAAGUGCCCAGAGCCAAUUGGUUCCCUGCAACCUUUGUGGGCGGACCUUCCUGCCAGACAGACUAAUUGUUCACCAGCGAUCUUGUAAACCCAAAGCCUCCAAGUAAAGCCCUUUCCUCAGCAUCAA